rnacentral:sRNA from 1 species
GCUGGGCGUGGUGAUGCAGGUCUGUAGCCUCAGCCACUUGGGAGGCUGAGGCCAGAGGAUCCCUUGAGCCCAAGAAUUUGGGACCAGCUUGGACAACAUAAACCCUGUCUCUU